rnacentral:rRNA from 1 species
UACGUAAGAGACUAGUGUUAUUCAUCUUAACUAGGUUUAAAGGGUACUCAGACGGUAUAAAUUAGCCCGCAAAGGGUAACAAUUUGACUAGAGUUUUAUGUAAGAUGGAUCGAACUCUUGAGUGGAGAGAUGAAAUUCUUUGAUACCUUGGGGACGGAUAAAGGCGCAGGCUAUCUUUUAUGUAAAAACUGACGUCGAAGGACGAAGGCUAAGGUAACCAACAGG